AUGAUGGACUAUAGGACAGGACUGCUGCUUUUAACUGUCUGCUGGGCAGGUGUUGAUGGUCAGACUCUGACAGAAUCUGAACCAGUGGUUAAAAGGCCUGGAGAAUCCCACAGAUUGACCUGUACAUCCUCUGGAUUCACAUUCAGUGCACUGUAUUUGGCCUGGAUCAGACAGGCUCCUGGAAAAGGACUGGAGUGGGUGGCCUGGAUUGAAAGUGGUAGUGGUAGCAGCAAAUACUACUCCCAGUCAGUUCAAGGCUGGUUUACCAUCUCCAGAGACAACAGCAGACAGCAGCUGUAUCUGCAGAUGAACAGUUUGAAGACUGAAGAUUCUGCUGUUUAUUAUUGUGUUCGCUCACCUCCGUCCAGCUGCACUUGCCACCCUGCCCUCUCCCCUCAGACCUCUUCCACGGUGUCCUCCCGGUCGUGUUGGAAUUCUGGUAUUGAGAUUUUGGGAUAA